AGAGUUUGAUCCUGGCUCAGGACGAACGCUGGCGGCGUGCCUAAUACAUGCAAGUCGAGCGGACCGGGCGGGAGCUUGCUUCCGCCUGGUUAGCGGCGGACGGGUGAGUAACACGUGGGUAACCUGCCCGUAAGACCGGGAUAACUCCGGGAAACCGGGGCUAAUACCGGAUAACACCGAAGACCGCAUGGUCUUCGGUUGAAAGGCGGCUUCGGCUGCCACUUACGGAUGGGCCCGCGGCGCAUUAGCUAGUUGGUGAGGUAACGGCUCACCAAGGCGACGAUGCGUAGCCGGCCUGAGAGGGUGACCGGCCACACUGGGACUGAGACACGGCCCAGACUCCUACGGGAGGCAGCAGUAGGGAAUCUUCCGCAAUGGACGAAAGUCUGACGGAGCGACGCCGCGUGAGCGAAGAAGGUCUUCGGAUCGUAAAGCUCUGUUGUUAGGGAAGAAGAAGUGCCGUUCGAACAGGGCGGCACGGUGACGGUACCUAACGAGAAAGCCCCGGCUAACUAC
rnacentral:rRNA from 1 species